GACGAACGCUGGCGGCGUGCUUAACACAUGCAAGUCGAACGGUGAAGGGACCAGCUUGCUGGUUCUGGAUGAGUGGCGAACGGGUGAGUAACACGUGAGUAACCUGCCCCCUUCUUCUGGAUAACCGCAUGAAAGUGUGGCUAAUACGGGAUAUUCUGCGCCUGCUGCAUGGUGGGUGUGGGAAAGAUGCGCCUUUGGGUGUUUUUGGUGGGGGAUGGGCUCGCGGCCUAUCAGCUUGUUGGUGGGGUGAUGGCCUACCAAGGCGGUGACGGGUAGCCGGCCUGAGAGGGUGGACGGUCACACUGGGACUGAGACACGGCCCAGACUCCUACGGGAGGCAGCAGUGGGGAAUAUUGCACAAUGGGCGCAAGCCUGAUGCAGCGACGCCGCGUGAGGGAUGGAGGCCUUCGGGUUGUAAACCUCUUUCGCCAGUGAAGCAGGCCUGUCCCUUUUGUGGGUGGGUUGACGG
rnacentral:rRNA from 1 species